rnacentral:rRNA from 1 species
AGGCUGACGGAGCGACGCCGCGUGGAUGAAGAAGGCCGAAAGGUUGUAAAGUUCUUUUGUUGGGGAAGAAUAACCAUGGGAGGGAAUGCCCGUGGGAUGACAUGAACCGACGAAUAAGCCCCGGCUAACUACGUGCCAGCAGCCGCGGUAACACGUAGGGGGCGAGCGUUGUUCGGAAUUACUGGGCGUAAAGGGCAUGUAGGCGGUCUUGUAAGCUUGGCGUGAAAGACCACGGCUCAACCGUGGGAUUGCGUUGAGAACUGCGAGGCUUGAGUGACGGAGAGGGAGCUAGAAUUCCUGGUGUAGGGGUGGAAUCUGUAGAGAUCAGGAAGAAUACCAAUGGCGAAGGCAAGCUCCUGGCCGAUGACUGACGCUGAGGUGCGAAAGUGUGGGGAUCAAACAGGAUUAGAUACCC